AUCCAAGUAAACCAAUAACAAUGUACAAGAUAAGUGUAAAAAUGACGAUGAGUUUCCUUCUUCUCUCUUUCCAUACCUUUGCGAUACAUUCUAGUAACAAUGUUAAGGUCAAUCUCUUACACUUCCCUUUACAAUUGAAGUAUUUAUUGAGAAAUUGAAUCAGAUCAUGCAUCAAUCAUUUAGUAUUUCAUUUGGUCAAUUGAGAUGGUAACAACUCUUCAGAAGUGUUUGGAGCAAUGGAAUCGGAUGACAGGUUAACUUAAUUGGCCAAUCACUUGUUGAACAAAAUAAAAGAACUAAAUUUGCUCAAAUUGAGGGUAAAUCGAUUUGCAGGAAAAGUAAUCCUUUUGUUUGUUUUCAAUCAACCUUUCAUGUUGUUUGGACAACAAAGCAAGUAUAUGUAUUUGCUUAUCGCCACUUAGGUGCUCUAAAGUUUUAAAUUGGUUUCAAGUUAAAAUAUCAAAAAAAGGAGAAGGGAAACAAACUGAUUUUCAAUUGAAGAAACGAAAUGAUGGAAUGUCAAUAUGGAAAUGGAGUGAUGUUCGCGUGAUACCAGCUAUAAUCACGCAAAAUGUUGAUUCAACAUCGCACCAUUAUCAUUGAUGAAUGAUCAAAGGCCAACAGAACAAAACAAGAAAGAAAAGACAAGAGAAGGAAAAGUAAAAAAGUUAAAGGUUCAAUACAAAUUCAAUGGUUAUACCUAUAAUAGAAACAAUGAUUUAUGAUUGAUUGGCUGAACAGUUUCUUUCUCUGAUGGACAAAUAUCAUCUUCAUCAGCAACAUCAUCAUCAUCCAGCAUCAUUACCAUCAUAUGUAAUCGUCAUUUAUAGAAGCUUCAUUCAGACCUUUUUACUAUCUUAAUUUAACUCUCUGAAAGGUUGAAGAAAAAUAUAAUUUGAUUGUUAACUAUAUCAUUAUAUUUGACAUCAAGUCUGUUUCUUCUUUGCCUUCUGUAACCAGAAUCAUUUCAUAAUUAGUAUCAACACAAAAUUCAAUUGAACUUCUUUUAACUAACAACAUUAACAUCAGCAACAAUCACAUUAGCACAAACAAACAAAACUAUUUCAAUACUUAUCUAUACUUAGAGUAUUACCUUUUUUUACCUAUUAUGCUUCAAGAUGAAUGCGUUUUUAACACAAAAAAAACUAUUUUCUCGUAAAAUAUUUAUUAUCAAACACUCUUAUUAGUUGUAAACAAUUGAUCACACCUUAAGUUUUAUUGCAAAAUGAGGAAGAAACCAUAUUACUUUGGGUGAAACGAAUUACUGAAUCAAUAAUGAUAUUUGCUUACUGAACAAUCUAUGAAUAGAUGAUUGGUAAUGAUGAUGAUAAUGAUGAUAUUAUAGGAAGGAAUUUUUGUGUUGAAUCAAAUUGAUUGUUACAGAGAGACUAAAAAGAGUCAUUUCAACAAUCAAAGGAUCAACUUGAGUUUUGAAAAGAAGAGAGUCAACAUUUUCAAUGAUUUAUACCGAAAAUUGAUGUUAAUUUUUCAACUUCUCCUGUUGCUACAUCUCAUGUUUAGUGUUGACCGAUGUUUUGUUUUGUUUAUGUUAAACCAUUGAAUCUAAUUGAUUGACCCAUUGUUACCAAGCAAGCAACAAAACAAUAAAAAAAGGAUAAUGCCUUUAACUGUAUUCAACAAGCAUAUUGAUCAGAUAAUGUUGGUGCGUAACCUGGUUUUACAAGGAAAUUUUGACUAAAAAAUUUACUUGUGUACAUAUUUACUGGGCAUUUUAAUCAUAAUGAUUUGGCCGUAAUCUUCAACAUGCAUUGAAUAUUUCGCUUGUCCAUUCUCUUUGGCACACCUAGCGAAACUUUACAUCUCAAUCAGUGUUUGGUUAUCAAUAAUGGCUGCUGAAGGAAAUGUUAGUAAAUAAUAGUAAAAUCAAAGCUACUAAUAGCUAGUAAUUAAGGGGCGUCUGAGAAAUAGUGGAACUAGCUUCAAAUGUAAAAUUACCGACUUUUUGCAGGGA